rnacentral:rRNA from 1 species
AGUGAACGCUGGCGGUAGGCCUAACACAUGCAAGUCGAACGGCAGCACAGUAAGAGCUUGCUCUUACGGGUGGCGAGUGGCGGACGGGUGAGGAAUACAUCGGAAUCUACUUUUUCGUGGGGGAUAACGUAGGGAAACUUACGCUAAUACCGAAUACGACCUACGGGUGAAAGCAGGGGAUCUUCGCACCUUGCGCGACUGAAUUAGCCGAUGUCGGAUUAGCUAGUUGGCGGGGUAAAGGCCCACCAAGGCGACGAUCCGUAGCGGGUCUGAGAGGAUGAUCAGCCACACUGGAACUGAGACACGGUCCAGACUCCUACGGGAGGCAGCAGUGGGGAAUAUUGGACAAUGGGCGCAAGCCUGACGCAGCCAUGCCGCGUGGGUGAAGAAGGCCUUCGGGUUGUAAAGCCCUUUUGUUGGGAAAGAAAAGCAGCAGGUUAAUACCCGGCUGUUCUGACGGUACCCAAAGAGUAAGCACCGGCUAACUUCGUG